rnacentral:lncRNA from 1 species
AAAAUAAUAGAGCAUUAGUAACUCUAGCAGAAGUAGCGUAAAUAAUUAUCUAAACAAAAGAAACAUAAAUACAAUCGCAUGCAAUAAUAUCAUACAGUAACUACCAUAACUAACAGCCAUAGGGGGACAUAAGCUAAGCUAAAACACAAGUCAUCUAUGGGUAACCCUGCUGACCCACACUCAACCCCGGAGGAGGCGUACGAAAAACUCUAGGAGCCCCUAUCCUACAACCCUGAUUCUAGACCUCCAGACUUUCCUAUCAAGGGUCAUGUGCUCGGAAACCUGCAUUCUAGCCAUGUCCUGCCUAAUCACCUCUCCCCAAUACUUCUUAA